AGGGAAAAGCUCAAAUUUAAAAUCUGGCAGUCUCCGGCUGUCCGAGUUGUAAAUUAGAGAAGUGCUAUCCGCGUUGGACUGUGCAUAAGUCUCUUGGAAAAGGGCAUCAUAGAGGGUGACAAUCCCGUCUUUGGCACAGACUACCAAGGCUUUUGUGAUACGCUCUC
rnacentral:rRNA from 1 species